AUAACAGAAGUAGGGUUUCCAAAAUGGUCCUAGUUUCCAAAUCUCUCUCUUUCAUGCCUCCUUUGAAAAUGUAACUCCCCUUCUCCUACUGUAGCUUCCUUUGACUGUUUCUAUUGGUAAUCAACAUGUUGCCUCUGUCUACAUAGUUUUCUUACAGAUUCAGCUUGCAAAAUAGGGAUGAAGAUAAAGGAUGCUUGGACCCACGAAGAUUUGGAUAUCUAUCUCAUGCCCAGGUCUUUAAAGAUAAAGAUGGCAGAGUAUGAUCACAUUCUCUUUAUGGCCCCUAAGUGUCAAACUUUGUUUUAUACAGACUUGGCUAAGACGAAGUUACUCUUUGAGCGAGGCAUCUCCUUGGAAAAGGUGCUUGAGAAUCUACCAACAUUUUAUGAUAGGUUGGUGGCCACCGAGUGGAAGAUAUUUGCCCCAGGCCCAUGUUGAGCCAAUGAGCAUAAGGUUAGGAAGUUCUAUGCUAAUCUCAGUAUAGUAUCUACCUCCGACCCAGUUAUAAGAAUUUGAGGAAAGAAGGUUCAUUUGGGUUGAAUAGAUCAAUGAUUUAUAUGGGAUGUCGGAUGCUAAUAUGACAUAAUUUAAGGAUAAGGGUUGUGUACUAAGGAUUAGGUUAGUUGAGAAACUGUGUUUGGGAAGAGAGAUACUGUGGGCUAUUACGAAAAUGGGGAUCAUUGCUGACAUGGCUAAGGCUUGGAUCUGGUUAGCCAUUGUAGCCAUGUGUCUCUAUCCACAAACAUGACCUAUGUCCCAAAUAUGAGAGCUCAGAUGAUUGCAUGCAUCAUGGACUAUAUUCCCUUGAAUUUUGAGAAAUUUGUGCUUUCGGACAUCAGGCAUAUCAAGAAUCAAGGCGGCCCCCUACUUAUGUUUCCUUCCUUGAUCACAAAAUUAUGCAAGAGGGCCGGAGUUGAGGAGGACCCCAGAGACACUUGGGUAUGCCCUAAGAUCCUUAUUUACCUACUAAAUAUUCGAGGAGAGGGCACAUUUAGAAAAAUCAAAAAUAGAAAGGUUGAUUUAGGAAAGUCGGUAGAGGAUGAUAUGGAUUCUUCCAGGCCAUCCUUCAGCUGAGCCACUCGAGGAUCUCUCAAGCCAGAUGUUGAUUAUGAGAGGUUCCUUUUGUACCAAAAGUAUCAGGUAUCCACCAUUGCUAGACUUGAGCGGGCCUAUUCUUCUUUGACUCGAUCACAUCAGUCGUUGUAGGAGUCACUUGAUAAGAUAAAGUGGAGAAAGAAAAAGAAAGACAAAUUGUUCACUCGCAUGUGGAAAGAGGAGAAGGACCUAUGGAAGGUCUUGAAGCCCAAAUAUAGACUUUCUUCUCCAGAGUAAAGGCAGAUGAUGAUAUUCCAUCCAGGUGGUCUAAGGAUGAUGAGCCACAAUCUGAUGAUGUGGACGAGGAGACAGCCAGUAAUGGUAACACUUAAUACGGAUAAAGGAGCCCCUUUUAAUCUAUCUAUGCUUUAUUAAUAUACUGUGAGGAUACUAAAAGAUCUUAGUUGGGGGUACCCAUCUCUGUAGUUAUUUGAUUUUAUGAUUUGGACUGUGUGAUUCGAAUAUUUAUUUGGAUGUUUUUAAGUUUAUUUGGAUGAUAUUGUUUCAUUUUAUUAGGUUGUAAUAUUUGGCACCCUGAAGGUGCCUACAUUUGAUGGAUUAGUCACUCUUGUUUCUAGUUUUGAA